CUCCUCUUCUGUAAACUAUAAAGCACAAAAUUCACAUCAAUAUGGGUCCUCUCCAUAAACACCCUUCAUCAUAUAAUAUCAUAGACAUUGCAAUGAAAUUGAUUAUUAUAUAGCCAGCCCUCCCACCACUCUCAAUCAUUUCAAAACCAUUCCUUUCCCUCUACAAUCUAUCAAGCCCCUUCCCCUUUAUACACCCUUUCUCUCAUGCUUCUCUUCCAAUAAAUGCCUCUCACUCUUUUGACCUAACUUCCAAACAGAAUUUCCACACCACAUAGCAGAAACUUUCAGUUUCAACCAUGUCCAUCACAGGACUCUCAGAAACAUCUAAACUUCACAAGAAAUUGUUUCAUCGCAGAAAUGAUUCUGAUGAGCUUGAUGUGUUUGAGGCAUCAAGGUAUUUCUCAGGAUACAAUGAAGCUGUGGGCUAUAAUGGUGCAACUUAUACACAAAAAGUCAUUAGAGAAGAUCACAGACAUCCUUGGAGAGGAGGAAGAAUGAGCUUAGACGUACCGAUGAGAAAUCCGCUACCUCAACAGUCUCACACAGUGGAAAAACAAAUAUUGAAGGAGAAGAAAUAUAAGCAACCAAGAUCUCCAGGUGGUAGGCUAGCUAGCUUCUUGAACUCUCUCUUCAAUCAAACAAGCUCUAAAAAGAAGAAAUCAAAGUCUGCCACACAAUCAAUGAAAGAUGAAGAUGAAAGCCCUAGUGGAAGAAGGAAAAGGAGGAGCAGCAUUAGUCAUUUUCGAAGCUCAAGCACUGCUGAUACAAAAUCAUUGUAUUCUUCUUCGAGUUCUGGUUUUAGAACACCCCCUCCUUAUGCACACACUCCAACAAAGAGCUACAAGAACUUCAGAAGCUAUUCAGAUCACAAGCAAUUACUUUCCUUGUCAAAGCACAAUGGAAAUGUGAAAUCCACAGUCUUCCAGAAUGAGGUAUUGGAUGAGAAAAGGAACACAGAUUUAUCAUGGUUGGAUGAGAAAUUUAAAUGCAGUGAUGGAUUUUCUGAGAAACCCAAGAGCCUUGGUCAUCGAUAUUUAGAGAAAGAUAGGAUUUGGGUUGAUCAGUAUCCACCAGAAGAGAAGGAAUUUAGAAAGUUCGAUAAGGUGGAUGAUGGAGCUGAGAGUGAUUCAAGUUCUGAUUUGUUUGAAUUGCAAAACUAUGACUUGGGUAUCUAUUCAAGUGGUCUGCCUGUGUAUGAGACGACAAAUAUGGAUAGCAUCAAAAGGGGAGCACCAAUUUCCAAUGGCACCCUCUAGAAUGUACAUUUUCCCCUUGUUGAUGCGUUUUUUGUUGUUAUUACUAUUAGAAACUGUGAGAAGAAUAUUGAUUUCCUAGAUUUUGCAAUUUCUUGCUGUGGCCAUCUGCUUUCCAUGCUGUUUCUCUGUGUGUACAGUAUGUAAUGUUUCUUUGUCUUUCUUUGUCUUUCUCUACUUUUUGGUUUUUGGCGCUGGAUUGAAGAAUAUUAGAAGUCUACCAUUGGAUUGUCUUGCUUAGAUUGUGGCAUGAUUAGUGAUUUUUCCACUAAAUUGACAGAGAAGCAAAAGCAUUAUAAACCCAUGUGGAC
rnacentral:misc_RNA from 1 species